AAAACCAAGGCAACUACCAGUAAACGCGACUUAUCUGGACUUAAGUAGAAACAGCAUCAAAAUAGUCAAAGGCUUUACCUUUCAGUCUUUGCGAUAACUCACCGACCUUAAUUUGGAAAGAAAUGGUAUACAGUUAAUCGAGAUAAAUGCUUUUUAUGGGUUACAUCGUCUACUGAGUCUACAUCUUUGCCUCAAUUCUAUAAAAUAAUUUCCCGACGACAUGUUCGACAGACUGAAUGGUUUGCAAGAGUUGUCAGUGGACGGCAAUAAACUACAAUACUUACAAG
rnacentral:lncRNA from 1 species